ACGUAGGGGGCAAGCGUUGUCCGGAUUUACUGGGUGUAAAGGGUGCUCAGGCGGGUUUGUAAGUCAGUGGUGAAAUCCCGGAGCUUAACUCCGGAACUGCCAUUGAUACUGCAAGACUAGAGUUCGGGAGAGGGUGAUGGAAUAUCUGGUGUAGGAGUGAAAUGCGUAGAUAUCUGAAGGAACAUCAAUGGCGAAGGCGGCCAACUGGACCGAUACUGACGCUGAAGUGCGAAAGCGUGGGUAGCAAACAG
rnacentral:rRNA from 1 species